rnacentral:rRNA from 1 species
UAGGGAAUCUUCGGCAAUGGGGGGAACCCUGACCGAGCAACGCCGCGUGAGUGAAGAAGGUUUUCGGAUCGUAAAGCUCUGUUGUUAAGGAAGAACGAGUGUGAGAAUGGAAAGUUCAUGCUGUGACGGUACUUAACCAGAAAGGGACGGCUAACUACGUGCCAGCAGCCGCGGUAAUACGUAGGUCCCGAGCGUUGUCCGGAUUUAUUGGGCGUAAAGCGAGCGCAGGCGGUUAGAAAAGUCUGAAGUGAAAGGCAGUGGCUCAACCAUUGUAGGCUUUGGAAACUGUUUAACUUGAGUGCAGAAGGGGAGAGUGGAAUUCCAUGUGUAGCGGUGAAAUGCGUAGAUAUAUGGAGGAACACCGGUGGCGAAAGCGGCUCUCUGGUCUGUAACUGACGCUGAGGCUCGAAAGCGUGGGGAGCGAACAGA